AGGCAAAGGAGUAAUCUGGAGCGAACCCCAAAAAUAACGUCUCAGUUCGGACUGUGGUCUGCAACCCGACCACACGAAGCUGGAAUCGCUAGUAAUCGUGAAUCAGAAUGUCACGGUGAAUACGUUCCCGGGUCUUGUACACACCGCCCGUCACACCAUGGGAGUCAGCAACGCCCGAAGUCAGUGACCUAACCGAAAGGGAGGAGCUGCCGAAGGCGGGGCCGGUAACUGGGGUGAAGUCGUAACAAGGUACC
rnacentral:rRNA from 1 species